CAACGAUGAAGGGCGCAGCGAAGUGUGAUAAGCAUUGUGAAUUGCAGAAUUCCGUGAACCAAUAGGGACUUGAACGUAUACUGCGCUUUCGGGAUAUCCCUGAAAGCAUGCCUGCUUCAGUGUCUAU
rnacentral:rRNA from 1 species